rnacentral:tRNA from 1 species
GCCGGGAUGGCGAAAUUGGCAAACGCACGAGACUUAAAAUCUCGCGGUCGCAAGACCUUGUGGGUUCAAGUCCCUCUCCCGGCA